ensembl:lncRNA
CAGCAUUGCAUGCAACAAGACUGGCAGUUACACAUUUUUCUCUAGUUCUGCUGCUCCAUGCUCCCAACCUGCUGCUGCUCCAGCUGGACUCAACCAGAUGGAGCUGGACGGAGCAGAUGCCAUGGUCAGGGGGUUGCGAGGAACCUGGAGCCUAUUGCAGGGAACUCGGGGAACAAGGCUGGGGACACCCUGAAUAGUGUGCCAAUCCAUUGCAGAGCACAAUCAUACACUCACUCACACAUUACGGACCGUGUGGAAAUGCCAAUCAGCCUACAGCGCACGUAUUUGGACUGGGGAGGAAACCAGAGUACCCGGAAGAAACCCCCGAAGCACGGGGGGAAUAUGCAAAAUCCACGCACACAGGGUGGAGGCCGAAAUCGAUCCCCAACCCUAGAGGUGUGAGGCAGACGUGCUACCCACUGGGCCGCUGUGUUUCCCUCACUAUUAUAUCAUUUCAUUAUUUUUGGAAGCAUCUUUCCUUUACACUUCAUAG